rnacentral:rRNA from 1 species
GGGAACAUACCCUUUUCUACGGAAUAGCUCUGGGAAACUGGAAUUAAUACCGUAUACGCCCUACGGGGGAAAGAUUUAUCGGGGAAGGAUUGGCCCGCGUUGGAUUAGCUAGUUGGUGGGGUAAAGGCCUACCAAGGCGACGAUCCAUAGCUGGUCUGAGAGGAUGAUCAGCCACAUUGGGACUGAGACACGGCCCAAACUCCUACGGGAGGCAGCAGUGGGGAAUAUUGGACAAUGGGCGCAAGCCUGAUCCAGCCAUGCCGCGUGAGUGAUGAAGGCCUUAGGGUUGUAAAGCUCUUUCACCGAUGAAGAUAAUGACGGUAGUCGGAGAAGAAGCCCCGGCUAACUUCGUGCCAGCAGCCGCGGUAAUACGAAGGGGGCUAGCGUUGUUCGGAAUUACUGGGCGUAAAGCGCACGUAGGCGGAUAUUUAAGUCAGGGGUGAAAUCCCAGAGCUCAACUCUGGAACUGCCUUUGAUACUGGGUAUCUUGAGUGUGGUAGAGGGUAGCGGAAUUCCCGGU